rnacentral:lncRNA from 1 species
GCCAUGGCGGCGAGCAGGGUUGGGCGUGGAGUGGGCGUCGGGGACCAUCCACCGCCAUCCUUCGUCGCUGGGGCUCCCCUGCUGCUCGGCUCCGCCGUAUGGGCGCCCUGGGGGCAUCGCGUCCGGCGGCCGCGCUUCAGUGCGCUUCGAAGGCUGCGAAGGGCAGCGCGGCCUUGCCACCGCCCUCCUCCUCAGGCCGGGCCAAGCCCGGGCAUCAUCCUGGUGUAGAAGGUGGUCCUGGGAUGGCUGGUGAUGGCCUCAACUUUGGGCAGAGGUCCUGGUUGUUCCAGAGCUCACCAAAUCUGAUGGAUAAACCCAGCAAUAACUGUGGAAAAAGAUGA